rnacentral:rRNA from 1 species
UACGAAGGGGGCUAGCGUUGCUCGGAAUUACUGGGCGUAAAGGCGCGUAGGCGGCCUCUUAAGUCGAACGUGAAAUCCCCGGGCUCAACCUGGGAACUGCAUCUGUGACUGCAUAGCUAGAGUACGGUAGAGGGGGGAUGGAAUUCCGCGUGUAGCAGUGAAAUGCGUAGAUAUGCGGAGGAACACCGAUGGCGAAGGCAAUCCCCUGGACCUGUACUGACGCUCAUGCACGAAAGCGUGGGGAGCAAACAGG